rnacentral:misc_RNA from 1 species
GCAAACUUGGUCAUUUAGAGGAAGUAAAAGUCGUAACAAGGUUUCCGUAGGUGAACCUGCGGAAGGAUCAUUAUCGAGUUUUUCCGUUGGGGACUGUGCUGGCCUUUGGGCAUGUGCACGUCCUCUUCAUUUCCACACACCUCGUGCACCUCUAGGUGGCUCUCCCGACGGAAGUCGCCUGAUUUUUUUUUUACAUGCGCUUUUUUCGUGUAUAAUGGGAUGUCUGUUCUAAAUAGUAACAACUUUCAACAACGGAUCUCUUGGCUCUCGCAUCGAUGAAGAACGCAGC